rnacentral:rRNA from 1 species
GACGAACGCUGGCGGCGUGCUUAACACAUGCAAGUCGAACGGAAAGGCCCUGCUUUUGUGGGGUGCUCGAGUGGCGAACGGGUGAGUAACACGUGAGUAACCUGCCCUUGACUUUGGGAUAACUUCAGGAAACUGGGGCUAAUACCGGAUAGGAGCUCCUGCUGCAUGGUGGGGGUUGGAAAGUUUCGGCGGUUGGGGAUGGACUCGCGGCUUAUCAGCUUGUUGGUGGGGUAGUGGCUUACCAAGGCUUUGACGGGUAGCCGGCCUGAGAGGGUGACCGGCCACAUGGGGACUGAGAUACGGCCCAGACUCGUACGGGAGGCAGCAGUGGGGAAUAUUGCACAAUGGGCGGAAGCCUGAUGCAGCAACGCCGCGUGCGGGAUGACGGCCUUCGGGUUGUAAACCGCUUUCGCCUGUGACGAAGCGUGAGUGACGGUAAUGGAUAAAGAAGCACCGGCUAACUACGUG